AAUGGAUGCUGCGCCGCAACGCUUUUGCUUUUGAGUUCACCUGCUGGCCGAGAUCGUCGGUGUUUUCGUGUAAGGCCCCAAGAUAGAUGGCGUUGCUGCUAAAACCUUUCAAAGAUGUAGAUAAAAUAAUUCAACGGCGAUCUGAGUGCUCCAAUUGGACACACUGCAGUCACGUAGUUUAUUGAUUUCAAGUCCGCUUACGAACCCAAAUCAAACGAAAAAACAAUCGCGAGAGAAGCUGGAAAAGGUAUUUUGCGUAUUAAAUUUUUUGUUUAGCGA